CCUCUCGAGCUGCCGGAGUCAACAUUUAUUGCUCAAUAUCGCUUAAACAAAGAAGCUUUUGUUAUGGUAUUGGACAAAAUUCAGCCACGCUUACGUUCAUCGACGAUUCCCGCAGUGCUUCAACUUGCUGCAACGCUUCGUUUUGUGGCCGAAGGCGCAUAUCAGCGAUCAGUGGGAAAUGAUGCAAACAUAAGUAUGGCAAGAAGCACUAUAUCUGAAGUGCUAACACGAGUGAUAAAAACAUUAGAACAUUCUAUAUGUAAUCAAUGGAUACAACUUGCAUUGGGAGCCAGUGGAAAACAACACUCCAAAGACUAUUUUUAGAACAAAUAUAGAAUUCCUGGCAUCAUUGGCUGCAUCGAUGGAACACAUAUUAAAGUUAUAAAGCCUUCCACUGAUGAACACCUCUACUUUAAUAGAAAAGGAUUCUUCAGUAUGAACGCUAUGAUUGUUUGCGACAGUAAUAUGACGAUUCGUGCAGUAGAUGCAAGGUAUCCUGGAU